rnacentral:rRNA from 1 species
GAUGAACGCUGGCGGCGUGCCUAAUACAUGCAAGUAGAACGCUGAAGCUUGGUGCUUGCACCGAGCGGAUGAGUUGCGAACGGGUGAGUAACGCGUAGGUAACCUGCCUCUUAGCGGGGGAUAACUAUUGGAAACGAUAGCUAAUACCGCAUAAAAGUCGAUAUCGUAUUAUAUUGAUUUAAAAGGUGCACAUGCAUCACUAAGAGAUGGACCUGCGUUGUAUUAGCUAGUUGGUGAGGUAACGGCUCACCAAGGCGACGAUACAUAGCCGACCUGAGAGGGUGAUCGGCCACACUGGGACGGAGACACGGCCCAGACUCCUACGGGAGGCAGCAGUAGGGAAUCGGCGGCAAUGGGGGCAACCCUGACCGAGCAGCGCCGAGUGAGUGAAGAAGGUUUUCGGAGCGUAAAGCUCUGUUUUAAGAGAAGAACGGGUGUGAGAGUGGAAAGUGCACACUGUGACGGUAACUUACCAGAAAGGGACGGCUAACUACUU